UACGUAGGGGCAAGCGUUGUCCGGAUUUAUUGGGCGUAAAGAGCUCGUAGGUGGUUCGGUAAGUCGGAUGUGAAAUCUCCAGGCUCAACCUGGAGGGGUCAUUCGAUACUGCCGUGACUAGAGGUCGGUAGGGGAGUGUGGAAUUCCUGGUGGAGCGGUGAAAUGCGCAGAUAUCAGGAGGAACACCGGUGGCGAAGGCGGGUCUCUGGGCCGAUACUGACGCUGAGGAGCGAAAGCGUGGGGAGCGAACAGG
rnacentral:rRNA from 1 species